GUUAAUAUUUCACCUAUGUAGAUCUCUAUAACAGGAAUCUCACAACCAUAGCACAGGGCAUCCCUAAUCUAAUUUAUGAUGAGAGUCAGCAUAUAAUGAGAGUAAAAAGGCAACUUCAAUGUAUAUGGCAUAUUACUAAUACUUAUUUAGAUUUAUUAGCCCUGCAUAAAGAGGUUGUGGAUUUAAGAAAUGCAAAGCCUUUGUCUUUUGAUGCUGCUAGCAUUGCAAAUGAUAUUCUGAAAAAAAUUACAGGCUGUGUUGCCUUCAUGGCCCUUGUUUACACCUCUCUUAUUGGGUGUGACGGGACUUGGCUCUAUGAUCCUUUUUUUUUUUAAAGAUUUAUUUAUUAUAUAUAAGUACACUGCAGCCGUCCUCAAACAUUCCAUAAGAGAGCGUCAGAUCACAUUAUGGAUGGUUGUGAGUCACCAUGUGGUUGCUGGAACUUGAACUCAGGACCUUCAGAAGAGCAGUCAGUGCUCUUAACCGCUAAGCCAUCUCUCCAGCCCCCUUAUGAUCCUUUUUAUGGCAUGUCUGUUACCUGUUCUUUAGAGAGGAAUCAUCAGAGCUUUUACAGAUGUCAAAGCAGAGUUACACAAAUCAAGCUCCAGAAGAAGUCUUUCCUAGCAGAAGUUGGUAGUCAAUGACAGGCAUAUUUAAACACAGCACAAUCUGGACAAAAAAUUUCCUGGUGACAAGUACUCAAUCUCAUGUGUACAACAAAGCUUAAGACCUGACUUCAUCAACACUCUUGUAAAGAGCAAGUGCCAUCUUCCAGAAAGGUGCUGUUUUCAAGGAAGGUUGAGAGGGACAAGAUGGCUGUGUAAAUAAUCAAGAGUUCCACAGAGGAUGCAAAGAGAGCACAAAGCAUCUGAGGGGACAUCAACUCAACUUGGUGAAAGGUGUCUGAGCCAUCUGCUGAAUGGAAAGUGCCCAGAGGGAGAGACAGUGCGGAUGAAGAAUCAGGAUGCAGACCAAGAAUCAAGGAGCUGAGGUGGUGGCCAUGGCAGCAGCAGCAGCAGCAGUGGUGUUGGUGGUGGUGGCAGUGGUUAUGUGUGUGUCUUAGAUGGGGGUAGGGGAUGGGAGUGGUGAUUAUGUGACCUUAACCCAUUUUGUAACAACGAUGUAAGUGAUUUUCAAGCUUUGUAUAUCUGAUUCCUCAAGAGAGUUAGUAACAGCAAAUAUAAUUCAUUCGCUUUAAGGUGACUCCAGGAAGUAGUGCCUAGUGUGAAGGCUCGACUACUGGGGACACAGUGAAGGACACUGGUGGAAGUGGAGUGCUCAGGAAAAGUGAAAAUGUUGGCAGCAUUGAGUAACUUUCAAGAGUAAAAGACAUAAGAAGACGUAGAAAAGAGAACAAGGGAGCUUGGAAAAAAGAAAAAUACAUAGAAAAAAUUGAGAAGAAACAUGAAAAAAUGGAAAUGGAAAUGGCUGUAUGCUCUUUGUACAAAUGCUUAAGAAUACAAUUCACUAAACUAGGGAACCGGCUUUUUAGGAACAGAGUUUUUUAGAUUUUGUAGAAAAGGUUUGUCCUUGGUUUUCUUAGGAAGGUAUAAUAUAUUUAGCAACCUGGAAGAAAGUUGGAAAAAGACUUCAAAUAUAUUGUGAUGUGAAUGGACUAGGUAAAGUGCCUGUAGAUAAUUUUAGUCUUUGACCUUGAACAGGGCUUGGAGAGAGAAGUGGGUUGUGGAGAAGGGAAGUGAAGUAAGCGUCCCCAGAGCCAGGCGUGGAUGCUUGCCACCACGAUAGAAGUGUGCCUAGUGAGCACCAAUCGCUGGCAUCACCACUGGAGUGCCCACCAUCCUCUGGAGGGGCAGGAGAUGGAGGCAGCAGCAGGAGGCAGAGAUGGGAAUGGUGUGUGAAUGGAGGAGCCAGCCUGGAGCUGGAGGCAGAUUCCAGAGUGGCAACAGAGGCAGUAAAGUACAGAGUGCUACUGUGACCAGUGGACAGUAAAGCAGAUUUGCAAGCUCUGGCAUAGUGAAUUAUGAUCCAACCCAGCAGGUUAAGAACUAAGAAAAAAACUUUUAUGGAAAAUGUUUGAGAUUGAUAAAUACAAGUAAUGAAGGUUAGAGGAUGUAAAAGAAUGGUGAUGAUUUAGAAUAAAAGUGCUUCAGAUGAAAGAUAUUUAAAGUUGGUAAAUGUAGGUAAAGAUGUCUAAAGUUGGUAAAUGCAAGUUAUAAAUAUUGCAGGGUCUAAGAAGAUGUUUUAAGGCAUAUAAAUGCAAGUUAUUAGAGAUGUAGGAAAUGAUUUAAGGUAUAAAAAAGAGGAAGGAAGAAGUGGGAAAUGUUUCAUAUUCUACCCCACAUGCUACUAUUAUUUCAAAGUUCAGAGUUUAACAUUGACCAACAAAGUUCUGGUAAGUUAAUGGCACAUUGGCAGUUUACAAUUCAUUCACAAGCUUCCCUUUGGUUUUCUUCUGAAAUGCUUCUCAUCAUGCUAAAACACUCUGUUCAAUUUGUGUAUCUAGCCCUCUGAAUUGACGAAAAAUGUUCUGUGCCUUUUAACACAAACCUAUAGCUUUUACUAGGUCUCAA
rnacentral:lncRNA from 1 species